UUGCAAGUUACUUUUCUCCAAUAGCUCAGCUGAUUUAUUCUGAAAUUUUUGUAACCUUAUCUAUCCAAAACUUCCAAUGAUAGUAUCUAAACUGUCAAAUCUACAAUUUUAGAUGAUGGAAAUAAUUUCUCGCCAAACAGUGGCACAACAAUGAGCAAAAGAAUAUGCUAUGGAUAGGUUGGAGCGUAUUCAAAAUUGGAGGAUGAAGACUUAUAUUCAGAUAUGAUAAAAGCUACAUACUUCAUAGUGAAGAAGGUGAGCAAUAGUUCAGGAAAUAACAGAGUCACACACGUCCAAAGCCCCUGCGAAAUUAAAGAAUCACCACAAGAAGAAGGAAAAAAAAUUGGGGGGGGGGGGAUAAUUAAAAGACAACAAAAUGGGAUCUAAGAAACUCAGCUGGUAAAGAAAACAAGAAAAAAUAAUGUCUACUCUCUAGAUCAAGACCUGAUCUGAUCAGGUUGGUUUUUCUUAUUAUUUAUUUGUGUGUUUAUGGUGAUUUUUAUAUGUAAUUUUUUUUUGGUUUUGAUAAAUAUAUUAUUAUAUAACUUUCAUCUUGUGUCCAUGCAUAUUGGACUGUUGUAAUAUAAACAACAUAAUUUUAGUUACUUUUAAGUUUACCAGCGAAUAUAA